AAACACUCAAAACCUUCUUCAAACCCGACAUCCAUCUCCUUCUUCAUUGCUCUAAACCCUUAUUCCUUUUCAUUCUUCAAAAUUAGAAUCCAUGGGCUCAUUCUCACCGGCAUAACCGAAGGCAACAUGCAUUGUUCCUCAAUCUUCCCUUCCUCUGACCUUCGAAGAAACACAACAGCUUCACACCUGUACUCCUUGUUGCCAAAACGCGAAAGAGGAGCAACGAUAUUCAUCCUCUUCCUUGAUUUUCAAAGUCCUUCAUUGAAGAACCUAAUUCUUGGCAGCCAUAGACAACAAAUUCUAGGCUUUCACUUUCUUUUGAUUUUCGAGUAUACAAUGGAUUGAUCCACUCCUUCACCUGCAUUACACGAACAAUAAUAGAAAGCAGGGUUGUUCUUUUGAUUCAAUGGGUAUUCACAGCAGCCUGCGUGAGAUUCAAGUCCUAAUUGAGACAAUUUCUUUGCAAAACCAUUCUAGCUGAUAGUUGCGGAUCGAACCUGACUCUUUGAAGCGUCGUCUUUGUUUGAUUACAGAUCGGAAUCGGUCGGAAACGAUGGGCUAGCGGUGCUUGAAUAGCGUUCCAAGGAUGUAUAUUGAGCUGAGCACUUAGGAAUUUGUAGUUUUGUAUUAGGUUUUUUUUUGGAUAAAUAUAUAUUUGUUUUGGCUGUGUUGGUUAUACGGACUUGUAGAGAAUUGUAUGAAUAUCUUGUGUAUUAGUUAGAUGUUGGUUUUGGGAUUUAGCUGAGUUAGUCACGUUGAAGAGCUUGUGACCUCUUUGCUUGAGUUUUGGAAGUGUGAUUUCAGUUUCUUGGGAAACGAACCCAGUGAUGACCCUGUUUACCCAGUCAACGGUAAGUCGGGUUGUUACACUAUCAACAAUUGUUAGAUCAUCAAACCUGGGAACAGUAGGCCUCCUUUCUACAUUUGACAUCCUAAGCGAUAUACCUUAUCUAAUUUCCUUGGAUUCUUUUGAUAAGUACACGUUCAUAGACUAAAUUAUAGGCACUAUCAACGAUCUCUAACAAGACCAUAUAUUGACUUGCAUUCAAUCUCUAAAAUACGUUUGUUUAUAUAAAGUGUAGUCAUCAUCAAAACCUAAGAGAGCCAACAAAUUAUAAAUAACCACUUUACGACUCUAUGUGAUCACUGUACGGUUAUAAGUGAUCAAUUUAAGAUUAUACAUUAGAUAGCUAAUGAGAAAAUUUGUUGGACCCUUUCCCCCAAAGUAUUCAAACCUUGGCUGAUCUUAUUUUAUGCUAAUUAACAAG